GACGAACGCUGGCGGCGUGCCUAAUACAUGCAAGUAGAACGCUGAAAUCUGGUGCUUGCACCGGAUGGAUGAGUUGCGAACGGGUGAGUAACGCGUAGGUAACCUACCUCAUAGCGGGGGAUAACUAUUGGAAACGAUAGCUAAUACCGCAUAAUAGUCAUUAACACAUGUUAGAGACUUGAAAGGGGCAACUGCUUCACUAUGAGAUGGACCUGCGUUGUAUUAGCUAGUAGGUAGGGUAAAGGCCUACCUAGGCGACGAUACAUAGCCGACCUGAGAGGGUGAUCGGCCACACUGGGACUGAGACACGGCCCAG
rnacentral:rRNA from 1 species